rnacentral:lncRNA from 7 species
ACAGGAAAUUGACCUGGGCCUUUCAACGGUACCACCUCCGGGGCACAAUGUGUAUAGCACCAAAUGAAAUAGAUGGGCCCAGAUCUUUGAGAAAAUCGCGUGCAGUUCUUCGUCUGAGUUCACGCAAUCACGCUUUCAAACAAAUCGCAGUUGCGUUGUACAACAAAUUUGUGUAGUUGCCGAGGAUGGAGCACCGUCUAGUGAACACGCUCUGGUUGCCUCUCCUUCCCACCAGCACAGGCACAACUAAGGCGUGGUGCCGACCUGGCGACCUAUAUAUAUAGCCUGAGCCUGUAGGCAUGGAACAUGGAAAUCAGCGCAGCGAAGCAUUGUGUGUGACAUGGACGCCUUUGGGCCUGGAGAUUACAAGUGUUGUGUGAUGUGAAGAAUUAUGUCCGAUGUGUGACAAAAAAAGAAGAUUGUUAAGUUUAAGACCACAUCACAAAAUGAUGAUAAAAGAGUACAACUUAUUGGACUA